AUGAACGCUGGCGGCGUGCCUAAUACAUGCAAGUCGCGCGAACAGACGAGGAGCUUGCUCCUCUGACGUUAGCGGCGGACGGGUGAGUAACCCGUGGAUAACCUACCUAUAAGACUGGGAUAACUUCGGGAAACCGGAGCUAAUACCGGAUAAUAUAUUGAACCGCAUGGUUCAAUAGUGAAAGACGGUUUUGCUGUCACUUAUAGAUGGAUCCGCGCCGCAUUAGCUAGUUGGUAAGGUAACGGCUUACCAAGGCAACGAUGCGUAGCCGACCUGAGAGGGUGAUCGGCCACACUGGAACUGAGACACGGUCCAGACUCCUACGGGAGGCAGCAGUAGGGAAUCUUCCGCAAUGGGCGAAAGCUUGACGGAGCAACGCCGCGUGAGUGAUGAAGGUCUUCGGAUCGUAAAACUCUGUUAUUAGGGAAGAACAAAUGUGUAAGUAACUAUGCACGUCUUGACGGUACCUAAUCAGAAAGCCACGGCUAACUACGUG
rnacentral:rRNA from 1 species